UUCCAGAAAUAUUUCAGAUCAGGAACAUCAGUUUACAAGUUUACGGGGAAAAUACACAGAUGGGCCAUGCUGGACUUACUCUUCCGUGUUCUCGUUGCCCAGCCACUCGUUCAGCUUCUUCUGCCGGACACCCUUCUGAGUCAACCACCUGCCGCAACACAGUUUCAAAAAGAAAAUGCGUGAAUGGCCCAUUCUCCAGCCGAGUCGUCAUGCCCAUCACCCCCCACCCACCGUUCGCUUCCACCCACGUACAUCAGCUUCAAUAUUAUCUUCUUUAACAACCUGAUCCUAGAAAAAAAAAAGAUGGGAGACAAUAGGAAAGAGGAAAAAUAAAUUCAACCAGUACGAGUUAACCAAUAAA